UCUGAAUUUUAUUUAUAAAUCUGAAAAUAUUAUUUUAGUUUUAUUUUUUCCCCAUUUCUGCUUGAUGUUCUCAAACUGAGGUAAACGAAAAGGCAAUAGCACAGUUUAUCCUGUUUGGAAUUCUUCCAUGCACUGUUACACAUAUCUUCCAUUUCAAAUUGAAUUAUUAAUAGGUAUACAGUAUUCCCCUCAUUGGCAGCCUUCUUUGCUGAACAUGGGCUGAUGGUUAGAAUAUAUUUGUAUAAGUGAUGCUACAUAUACAUAUACACAUACUAUUACAGCAUUUACAAGUGUUAAAUUGAUAUGCACACUUUUGACAUAAUUCAAGCAAUAGGAGAC
rnacentral:lncRNA from 1 species